rnacentral:rRNA from 1 species
UACGUAGGGUGCAAGCGUUGUCCGGAAUUAUUGGGCGUAAAGAGCUCGUAGGCGGUCUGUUGCGUCGGCUGUGAAAACCCGGGGCUCAACCCCGGGCCUGCAGCCGAUACGGGCAGACUAGAGUUCGGCAGGGGAGACUGGAAUUCCUGGUGUAGCGGUGAAAUGCGCAGAUAUCAGGAGGAACACCGGUGGCGAAGGCGGGUCUCUGGGCCGAUAUCGACGCUGAGGAGCGAAAGCGUGGGGAGCGAACAGG